GUACACAUAGUUUAAUCAAAACGCCAGUCUGUGGGCCUGGAAAUCGAAGACAAAAUCCUCUUGUGUACC
rnacentral:tRNA from 1 species